rnacentral:rRNA from 1 species
AUUGAACGCUGGCGGCAGGCCUAACACAUGCAAGUCGAACGGUAACAGGAAGCAGCUUGCUGCUUCGCUGACGAGUGGCGGACGGGUGAGUAAUGUCUGGGAAACUGCCUGAUGGAGGGGGAUAACUACUGGAAACGGUAGCUAAUACCGCAUAACGUCGCAAGACCAAAGAGGGGGACCUUAUGGCCUCUUGCCAUCGGAUGUGCCCAGAUGGGAUUAGCUAGUAGGUGGGGUAACGGCUCACCUAGGCGACGAUCCCUAGCUGGUCUGAGAGGAUGACCAGCCACACUGGAACUGAGACACGGUCCAGACGCCUACGGGAGGCAGCAGUGGGGAAUAUUGCACAAUGGGCGGAAGCCUGAUGCAGCCAUGCCGCGUGUAUGAAGAAGGCCUUCGGGUUGUAAAGUACUUUCAGCGGGGAGGAAGGGAGUAAAGUUAAUACCUUGGCUCAUUGACGUUACCCGCAGAAGAAGCACCGGCUAACUCCGUG